rnacentral:rRNA from 1 species
GACGAACGCUGGCGGCGUGCCUAAUACAUGCAAGUAGAACGCUGAAGGAGGAGCUUGCUUCUCUGGAUGAGUUGCGAACGGGUGAGUAACGCGUAGGUAACCUGCCUGGUAGCGGGGGAUAACUAUUGGAAACGAUAGCUAAUACCGCAUAAUAGUAGAUGUUGCAUGACAUUUACUUAAAAGGUGCAAUUGCAUCACUACCAGAUGGACCUGCGUUGUAUUAGCUAGUUGGUGGGGUAACGGCUCACCAAGGCGACGAUACAUAGCCGACCUGAGAGGGUGAUCGGCCACACUGGGACUGAGACACGGCCCAGACUCCUACGGGAGGCAGCAGUAGGGAAUCUUCGGCAAUGGACGAAAGUCUGACCGAGCAACGCCGCGUGAGUGAAGAAGGUUUUCGGAUCGUAAAGCUCUGUUGUAAGAGAAGAACGAGUGUGAGAGUGGAAAGUCCACACUGUGACGGUAUCUUACCAGAAAGGGACGGCUAACUACGUG